UACGGGGGGGGCAAGCGUUGUUCGGAAUUACUGGGCGUAAAGGCUCGUAGGUGGCCAACUAAGUCAGACGUGAAAUCCCUCGGCUUAACCGGGGAACUGCGUCUGAUACUGGAUGGCUAGAGAUUGGGAGAGGGAUGCGGAAUUCCAGGUGUAGCGGUGAAAUGCGUAGAUAUCUGGAGGAACACCGGUGGCGAAGGCGGCAUCCUGGACCAACACUGACGCUGAGGAGCGAAAGCCAGGGGAGCAAACGGG
rnacentral:rRNA from 1 species